rnacentral:tRNA from 1 species
GGACUGACCGCCAUAGGUGAAGUAACGCAUUUGCUAAAUGCCUGGAUGAUAAAUCCUUGUGAGUUCAAAUCUCACUUAGUCCG